CUUUAAGUUAUUUACAAAUUUUAACAAUUGAGUAAAGUAUACUCCUAUGAAUGAAAUUUGGAGCAUAUUUAUUUCUCUCUAACUUAUUGCUACAGAAUUUGGAAACUAUUUAGUACACAUUCGUGAGAUUUUAUCAUCAGAUUUCAUGGUAUAAAGAGACAUUACCUGAACAGCUACCUACAUCUGAGCGCCCCUGUUGUGGAAGAUGCAUCUGCUUUAUGCUUUCUUUAUUUUGCUCUCUCAGCAAUGGUUUUAAUCCUAACUGUCAUGGAAGAUGUAACUGUGAUUCUAUGCAGUCGGUGUAAUGCUUCAGACUAACAGAGGUACCAUCAAGUAUUCCUUCUGUCAUCAAGAGGCUCUACAUUAGCCACAGAAAAAUUCAACACCUCCAGCUGUCUGACUUCAUCCGAAUGUUGGCUGUAGAAGAUUCUAUUCUGCUGGCCAGUGGAACAGAGUCAGUAGAAAAUGACACCUUCAAAGCUCUGAGUACUUUGAAGACCUUAGAACUCUGGAAAAAAUAAGUUAAGACGAGUCCUUAGUGCUCUCCCAGCCAGUCUUGAAGUGUUAAAACUAAAUGAUAACUCAAUAAAUGUCAUACAUGGAUCAGAUUUUGAAGGACUGAAGAAAUUAAAAAUCCUUGAACUUAAAAACAACCUGAUCUCUUCCUUCUCUCCGAGUACAUUCUCCUCCCUUGUCAGUUUGCAAAGUUUGAUGUUGGAUGGUAACAGUAUGGAGGCUAUAGCUGGACCCCUGAUACUUCCCCAUCUGACACACUUGAGCCUGGAGAAUAAUAAGUUACAUCUUAUAUGAUAGCUUCUUUAUUUCUCUAUAGUCUUUGCAGUUUCUCAGUUUCAGUGGUAACUUUCUGACUGAAGUUCCUGUCAAUCUACCCAAAUCCUUGCUAUCUUUACAGAUGGAAAGAAACUAGCUCAGAAUGGUAAGGUUUCGAGACAUGAAACACUUGAAGAAUCUUUGCCAUCUUUACCUGUCAGAAAACGUAUUCUCUUCCAUCAGUGGGGCACAGCUCCUUACCAAUUUAACUACUCUUGAGCUGUCUCCAAACCACCUCCAAAUGUUGCCCUUCAGACUACCAGUAAAGCUACAAAAACUUGAUUGCAGCGAUAAUCUGAUUCAGAGAGUUACAGCAUAAGACUUCCAGGACCUCCAAGACUUGAAACAUUUGUUUUUGGACAACAACAUUGUGAGUUUGUUCCAAGCUGGAGCCCUGCAGAGACGGUCUCAGCUCUCCAACCUGGCCCUGGAGCAGAACCUGCUAUUGUCCAUACCCCUAAGGCUCCCAGGGACCUUAAUCAGGCUGUACCUAAAAGGCAAUGUCAUCCAGAAUAUUGCUGAACGGGAGCUCAAGGACCUCAAACAGCUUCAUGUUCUAAACCUGAGGAACAACAAGAUCUCUGCCUUAGACCUAAAAGCCUUAGAGGGUCUGCCUUGUCUCAGGCAGCUGUACCUGGAUGGAAAUGCCUGGAAUUGCACCUGUAGUCUCCUAAAAGCAAGAGAAGUCCUGAUGGCCAAGGGCACAGAUAUAAGGGGAGGACAAGGUGCAGCACCAGCUGAACAGCAAGGGAAGAGCUGGAUGUCUUCCAAGAUCAUGAGGCAAUGUGAGCAUCACUUUCAUCUGACUAAGAAAAGCAAAGAGACUAAAAAUAAAUAAAACCUGAAGACCUCUCCAGCAUCAGAAUCAACAUGGAUGAUGAUUAUGACUAUGAAAUAGAUUAAGUAUGAACUUUGCUCACAGUUCAGAAAGUGUUUUUUAAUGUUCAAUCUCUUAAGUAGAAAUGUGCUAUACACUUAGAUAUGCAAGACUCUCUUUUGUAGUGUUUCUUAUUUUUGUUUGAAGAAUGUUUUAAGAAUGAGGGUUAAGAUGAGAUGGGGGAAGAAAACAGAAAAGAACAAUGGUAAGAAGAUGUAAGAUUCCUUCCAUUUUAAAAGUAAUUUGUGUGGCUGGCAAGAUGGCUGAAUAGGAACAGCUCCAGUCUGCAGCUCCCAGAGAGAUCAAUAUGGAAGGUGGGUGAUUUCUGCAUUUUCAACUGAGGUACCUAGCUCAUCUCAUUGUGACUGGUUAGACAGUGGGUGUAGCCCACGGAGGACAAGCCAAAGGACGGUGGGGAGUCACCUCACCCAGGAAGCACAAGGGGUUGGGGAAAUUCCUCCCCAAGCCAAGGGAAGCCGUGAGGGACUGUGCCAUGAAAGACAGUGCAUUCUGCUCCAGAUAUUAUGCUCUUCCCAGUCUUCGCAACCUGCAGACCGGGAGAUUCCCUCAGGUACCUACAGCAACAGGGCCUUGGGGUUCAAGCACAAAACUGGGCAGCCAUUUGGACAGACACCGAGCUAGCUGCAGGACUGUAGGAGUUGUUUUUGUUUUUUUGUUUUGUUUUGUUGUUGUUUUUUUUUUUUUCCAUACACGAGUGGCGCCUGAAACUCCAGUGAGACAGGACCAUUCACUUCCCUGGAAAGGGUGCUGAAGACAGGGAGCCAAGUGGUCUAGUUCAGCUGAUCCCACCCCCACAAAAUCCAGCAAGCUAAUUUCACUGGCUUGAAAUUCUCACUUGCCAGCACAGCAGUCUGAAGUCGACCUGGGACACUGGAGCUUGGUCGGGGGAGGGGCGUCCCCCAUUACUGAGGCUUGAGAAGGUGGUUUUCACUUCACAGUGUAAACAAAGCUGCCGGGAAAUUCAAGGCGACAAAGUUGCUGUAGCCAGACUGCCUCUCUAGAUUCCUCUUCUCAGGGGAGGGGAUCUCUGAAAGAAAGGCAGCAGCCCCAGUCAGGGACUUAUAGAUAAAAUUCACAUCUCACUGGGACAGAGCACAUGGGGAA